rnacentral:rRNA from 1 species
UACGUGCCAGCAGCCGCGGUAAUACGUAGGGUGCAAGCGUUAUCCGGAAUUAUUGGGCGUAAAGAGCUAGUAGGCGGUCUGUCGCGUCUGCUGUGAAAUCCCGAGGCUCAACCUCGGGCUUGCAGUGGGUACGGGCAGACUAGAGUGCGGUAGGGGAGAUUGGAAUUCCUGGUGUAGCGGUGGAAUGCGCAGAUAUCAGGAGGAACACCGAUGGCGAAGGCAGAUCUCUGGGCCGUAACUGACGUGAGGAGCGAAAGGGUGGGGAGCAAACAGGCUUAGAUACCCUGGUAGUCCACCCCGUAAACGUUGGGAACUAGUUGUGGGGUCCUUUCCACGGAUUCCGUGACGCAGCUAACGCAUUAAGUUCCCCGCCUGGGGAGUACGGCCGCAAGGCUAAAACUCAAAGGAAUUGACGGGGACCCGCACAAGCGGCGGAGCAUGCGGAUUAAUUCGAUGCAACGCGAAGAACCUUACCAAGGCUUGACAUACGCGAGAACGCCCUAGAAAUAGGGAACUCUUUGGACACUCGUGAACAUGGUGGUGCAUGGUGUCGUCAGC